rfam:Ictidomys tridecemlineatus contig035190, whole genome shotgun sequence.
GGGGCUGUAGCUCAGUGGCAGAGCGCUUGCCUAACAAGUGUGAGACACUGAGUUUGAUCCUCAGCACCA